rnacentral:rRNA from 1 species
GCGCACCAGGCGAGAAAACUUCACAAUGUGCGAAAGCACGAUGAGGGAAUCCCAAGUGCUUGCACGUAAGUGUAAGCUGUUUCUCUGUCUAAAACGCAGAGAGAGUAAGGGCUGGGUAAGACGGGUGCCAGCCGCCGCGGUAAUACCUGCAGCUCGAGUGGUGACCGUUAUUAUUGGGCCUAAAAACGUCCGUAGCCGGUUUAAUAAAAUGCCUGGGUAAAAUCGGACCGCUUAAACGGUUCGAAUUCCGGGUAGACUGUUAAAACUUGAGACCGGGAGAAGUUAGAGGUACUCCUGGGGUAGAGGUGAAAAUUCUGUAAAUCCUAGGGGGACCACCAGUGGCGAAGGCGUCUAACUAGAACGGGUCUGACGGUGAGGGACGAAAGCCCUGGGGCGCAAAACGGGAUUAGAUACCCGUGUAGU